rnacentral:rRNA from 1 species
CAGGGAUUGCCUUAGUAACGGCGAGUGAAGCGGCAAUAGCUCAAAUUUGAAAUCUGGCGCUUGCGUCCGAGUUGUAAUUUGUAGAGGAUGAUUUUGGUUAGGUACCUUUCGAGUUCCUUGGAACAGGACGCCUUAGAGGGUGAGAGCCCCGUACGAUUGGAUGCCGAGCCUCUGUAAAUCUCCUUCGACGAGUCGAGUAGUUUGGGAAUGCUGCUCUAAAUGGGAGGUAAAUUUCUUCUAAAGCUAAAUACCGGCCAGAGACCGAUAGCGCACAAGUAGAGUGAUCGAAAGAUGAAAAGCACUUUGAAAAGAGGGUUAAAUAGCACGUGAAAUUGUUGAAAGGGAAGGAUUUAUGACCAGACUUUUUCUAGGAGGAUCAUCCGGUGUUCUCACCGGUGCACUUCUUCUAGUUUAGGCCAGCAUCGACUUUCGGCGGCGGAUAAAAGCUUCAGGAAUGUGGCUCCCCUCGGGGAGUGUUAUAGCCUGUUGUAUAAUACGCUGCUGGGGGUCGAGGUACGCGCUUCUGCAAGGAUGCUGGCGUAAUGGUUAUCAAUCACCCGUCUUGAAACACGGACCAAGGAGUCGAACAUUUAUGCGAGUGUUUGGGUGUUAAACCCUCACGCGUAAUGAAAGUGAACGGAGGUGAGAGCCCUUACGGGUGCAUCAUCGACCGAUCCUGAAGUUUUCGGAUGGAUUUGAGUAAGAGCAUAACUGUUCGGACCCGAAAGAUGGUGAACUAUGCGUGGAUAGGGUGAAGCCAGAGGAAACUCUGGUGGAGGCUCGCAGCGGUUCUGACGUGCAAAUCGAUCGUCAAAUCUGCGCAUGGGG